AAAAAACAUAAAGAGUGGAAAAGAAAGACAAGAUCUCUAUCUAAAAGCGAUCGACUUUCCAAUCGUACAUAUUUUCUUUCUUCGUCCCAAUACAUAAUCAUAAAGGAUUAUCAUAAAAACAGAUCGGCAGUUUCGAAG
rnacentral:ribozyme from 15 species